GUAAGUUUACUGCUACCUAUCAUUCGUGGGUGCGGGAUGUUGGACGCUAUAAGUGGCUAUCUGACUGAUCUUCAUUUUGAAUAGGCCACAGUUCCACUCACUAACUGAACCGUUUUCAGCUGCGCUGCCAGACUAUAGAAAGGGGGACCUCGCCUCUUGUCAUUCUUUAGCAUGCUCAUGGCCACAGUGCGUUGUCCCUGAGAAGUCAGCUGCUAUCACAAUUUAAAAAGUGCCUAUUGGCUGCUAUGAGUUUAUCCUGAGCACGAAUUUUCACAGUUAUGUAAGCAUUAGUUAUGUGACCGAAGCCAGCCAAUGAGCACGAACUGCUGGCAAAAUUUUGAAGUGACUCUACAGGCAGAGUGUCUGCUCCCUAUAUUAUGUUAGCCACACUGCUUUGUCAGUGUGCUGAAUUGUUCUUUUUUUACAGAAAUUUACUACCCAGCCAGAAAAGAUAUUGCCAAACCAUGAAUUUUAGGCCUGUACACAUGGUCACUUCUUUAUUUUAUGAUAUUCUGGACAUGACACCCAAGUCUAGCUUAGAUUAGCAACAUCAGCUUAACUUAUGCAUGGAGUUGAGUUGCUUCCUGUGAGAAAAAAAGUCACUGCAUUGCUAAUAGGAAUUAGACUGGUACAAAAAAUUAUUUGUCUUUAUGGCUUGUAGUAUAAGUGGUGCUGUUCAUUUGAUGCACACAGUAACACGUGAACACAAAUGUAUGUGUACCUUGCAUUUAUGUGCAUGUGUGUGUGAAUAAAACAGCACAACUUCUAAUAUCAAGGCACGUUGUACCAACUAUACCCAUUAAAGAUGUUCUAUGUGGCAUUCAGCCGAUCUUAUUGAAAUUUUAUCACAUGGUGCAGUUACAACAUUUCAUACCUGUAUGUAAACCAAUUUAAUAACUGUAUUCACUGCAUGUGAGAAUGCAUAUUUUAGGCCAAUGCAGUGCCUGGGGUACCAACGUUUUAGUUAGCUUUGCCACAGCUUAUUAGAGGGAUCUUGUUGAUUAUGCCAUCCAAACAACUCGUAUAAAGGUUUGUGUUUAGUAUACCAGCAGUGAAAUACUGAAUGCAGCUGCAAUUCUUUGUAUACUAGUGAGAUUAAUUCCACUGCUCAUUGUUCUGUAACAUGUUCUUCAGUCACACGUGUUGACAGUAUUUGGCGUCAUGAGUUCUAGGCUAAUUUUCACAUGGGCCUUUCGAUGAAGUCAAAUCUGCCUCUUCAACAGUCAGUUUAGUGGAAAGCCACCACUGAACCAAUAGCUCAAAGACCAAUUCCUGCAUGCUUUUUGCCAAUUGGGUAGUGCGCGGAAACUAUGUGUGAUACAUCACUUCAGCAGAGGAACAUGAUGCACGUAUGUAACAGUUACUCAUCCCUUGAAAUGUGAAUGAUCCAAACCUUUGCGAGCAUAUCAGUCACAACCAUCCAGCAGCACAAGUGGGAACACUUGUGCUAUCACAAGCGAAAACAAGUACAAUAGUACUGCCGUCUCAGCUGGUUUGUCGUGAUUACUUUGCCUGCAAGUUCCUUGUUUAUAUUGGAUAGGCUUCCUACUUUAUAAAUUAACAGCUUUCACAACAUUUACUGUGCUAAUGAAGGCACAGCACAGAUACCAGUACUGAAGGAGGUAUAUACAAGUAGGGCAGAGAACUUGUGGGUAAGCUCAAAAAUAAACGGGUAAAACUAUGUCGAACAAACCAUUUUCACAUUAGAAGAUAUGUCAUCGGCAAUUAAUGCACAUGCAAUAAGUGCCCUGUGUGGGAGAUUGAGACCUGUGAUGCCAAACACCUGUUUGCCUUUUAAAUAUUGACAUAAAGAAAAAUUCCAGUCUGUACUUCUGUGUCGGAGGGUACAAUAUCAAAGGAGAGGUGCAAAACGGAUUUUGCAUGUAGUAGUCCCUUAUGAAUGUGCUACUCAAGUUGUGCCAAGCAUAGCCAUCUGUGUGCAAAGCAUUGGACAAGGUACCAUAUGUAUGUCUGACACAUUAAAAAUCUUUUGCAUUGAA